UUUCCUUUUGGUAUAAAUAAAAGGUAAUCCCUGCCCAGUGCAGCUAAAGUAAUGUUUGUUGUAAACGGCGGCGUUAACGUGAGCGUCCUAAGGUAGCGCGAUAAUUUGCCUUUUAAUUGAAGGAUGGUAUGAAUGGGUUAACGAAGAAGUUGCUGUGUCUAAAAAAUUGAUUUAAACUAACUUUAAGGUGAAGAGGCCUUAAUACAAAAGAAGGACGACAAGACCCUAUGAAGCUUUAUCUUAGUAGGGGCUUAUUAAGCCCUUAUACGAUUUUGAUGGGAAAUCAGUAAAAAUAAGUCUUUUGCUUUCAUGUUAAUCAGACAAGUAUUUCCUAAUUUUAUAUGUAUGUCUAGCUACUCUAGGGAUAACAGCGCAAUUUCUCCCGAAAGAUGGUAUUGGAGGGGAAGAUUGCGACCUCGAUGUUGGCUUUAGAUAUCCCGGAGGUGUAGAGACUCCCAACGGUGGGUCUGUUCGCCCUUUAAUAUCUA
rnacentral:rRNA from 1 species